rnacentral:rRNA from 1 species
UACGAAGGGGGCUAGCGUUGCUCGGAAUUACUGGGCGUAAAGGGCGCGUAGGCGGACAGUUUAGUCAGAGGUGAAAGCCCAGGGCUCAACCUUGGAAUAGCCUUUGAUACUGACUGUCUUGAGUUCGGGAGAGGUGAGUGGAAUGCCGAGUGUAGAGGUGAAAUUCGUAGAUAUUCGGCGGAACACCAGUGGCGAAGGCGACUCACUGGCCCGAUACUGACGCUGAUGCACGAAAGCUAGGGGAGCAAACAGG